rnacentral:misc_RNA from 1 species
GUAGGUGAACCUGCGGAAGGAUCAUUAGUGAAUUUAGCGCAGUUGCUUGCAACGCGUGACCCCACUCUAUACACUGUGCACUCAUUGGCGGAGAGAAGAAAAAAAUAAAAUUUAUUUUGUUUCGCUCAACUUUCUGCGGCUCACUUUAAACACCAGUCAAAGUAUGUAUACGAAAUAUCGAAAAAAGAAAAACUUUCAACAACGGAUCUCUUGGCUCUC